rfam:Citrus sinensis cultivar Ridge Pineapple sweet orange scaffold00055_contig_9, whole genome shotgun sequence.
AAGUUGUAUGUAAGAAUUAGAGGCGGCUAAACAAGUUAGUAGAAUGAAAUUACAUUCUGUUUAGUUUCCUCUAAUAUCUUAUCUCCAACUU